rnacentral:rRNA from 1 species
UACUGACGCUGAGGUACGAAAGCAUGGGGAGCAAACAGGAUUAGAUACCCUGGUAGUCCAUGCCGUAAACGAUGUCUACUAGCCGUUGGGGCCUUUGAGGCUUUAGUGGCGCAGCUAACGCGAUAAGUAGACCGCCUGGGGAGUACGGUCGCAAGACUAAAACUCAAAUGAAUUGACGGGGGCCCGCACAAGCGGUGGAGCAUGUGGUUUAAUUCGAUGCAACGCGAAGAACCUUACCUGGCCUUGACAUACUAGAAACUUUCCAGAGAUGGAUUGGUGCCUUCGGGAAUCUAGAUACAGGUGCUGCAUGGCUGUCGCCAGCUCGUGUCGUGAGAUGUUGGGUUAAGUCCCGCAACGAGCGCAACCCUUUUCCUUACUUGCCAGCAUUUCGGAUGGGAACUUUAAGGAUACUGCCAGUGACAAACUGGAGGAAGGCGGGGACGACGUCAAGUCAUCAUGGCCCUUACGGCCAGGGCUACACACGUGCUACAAUGGUCGGUACAAAGGGUUGCUACACAGCGAUGUGAUGCUAAUCUCAAAAAGCCGAUCGUAGUCCGGAUUGGAGUCUGCAACUCGACUCCAUGAAGUCGGAAUCGCUAGUAAUCGCGGAUCAGAAUGCCGCGGUGAAUACGUUCCCGGGCCUUGUACACACCGCCCGUCACACCAUGGGAGUUUGUUGCACCAGAAGUAGCUAGCCUAACUGCAAAGAGGGCGGUUACCACGGUGUGGCCGAUGACUGGGGUG